rnacentral:rRNA from 1 species
UUAAGUCAUGCCUUAAUCAUUUUGACGGUUACUACAGAAGAAGCACCGUCUACCUCGUUUCUGCAGCCGCGUAAUACGAGGGUGCAAGCGUUAAUCAGAAAUACUGGCGUAAAGCGCAUGCAGUUGUUGUUAAGUCAGAUGUGAAAGCCCUGGGCUCAACCUAGGAAUCGCAUUUGAACUGACAAGCUAGAGUACUGUAGAGGGGGGUAGACUUUCAGGUGUAGCGGUGAAAUGCGUAGAGAUUUGAAGGAAUACCGGUGGCGAAGGCGGCCCCCUGGACAGAUACUGACACUCAGAUGCGAAAGCGUGGUGAGCAAACAGGAUUAGAUACCCUGGUAGUCCACGCCGUAAACGAUGUCUACUUGGAGGUUGUGCCCUAGAGUCGUGGCUUUCGGAGCUAACGCGUUAAGUAGACCGCCUGGGGAGUACGGUCGCAAGAUUAAAACUCAAAUGAAUUGACGGGGGCCCGCACAAGCGGUGGAGCAUGUGGUUUAAUUCGAUGCAACGCGAAGAACCUUACCUACUCUUGACAUCCAGAGAAUCUAGCGGAGACGCUGGAGUGCCUUCGGGAGCUCUGAGACAGGUGCUGCAUGGCUGUCGUCAGCUCGUGUUGUGAAAUGUUGGGUUAAGUCCCGCAACGAGCGCAACCCUUAUCCUUGUUUGCCAGCACGUAAUGGUGGGAACUCCAGGGAGACUGCCGGUGAUAAAUUUAAGGAAGGUGGGGACGACGUCAAGUCAUCAUGGCCCUUACGAGUAGGGCUACACACGUGCUACAAUGGCGUAUACAGAGGGCAGCGAUACCGCGAGGUGGAGCGAAUCUCACAAAUUACCUAGUAGUCCGGAUUUGAGUCUGCAACUCGUCUCCAUGAAGUCGGAAUGGGUAGUAAUCGCAAAUCAGAAUGUUGCGGUGAAUACGUUCCCGGGCCUAGUACACACCGCCCGUCACACCAUGGGAGUGUGCUGCAAAAGAAGCAGUAUAGUCUAAGCUUCGCGAGGACGC